GACGAACGCUGGCGGCGUGCUUAACACAUGCAAGUGGAGCGACGAACCAGGGCUUGCCCUGGGGCAAAGCCGCGAACGGGUGAGUAACACGUGGGUAACCUGCCCCGAAGACCGGGACAACCCGAGGAAACUCGGGCUAAUACCGGAUGUGGUCACUCUUCAUAAGGAGAGUGAGCAACGGAAGCUUCGGCCUCCGCUUCGGGAUGGGCCCGCGGCCCAUUAGCUUGUUGGUGAGGUAACGGCUCACCAAGGUAUCGAUGGGUAGCUGGUCUGAGAGGACGAUCAGCCACACUGGGACUGAGACACGGCCCAGACUCCUACGGGAGGCAGCAGUGGGGAAUCUUGCGCAAUGGGCGACAGCCUGACGCAGCAACGCCGCGUGAGGGAAGAAGGCUUUCGGGUCGUAAACCUCUUUCAGGAGGGACGAAGCUUCGGGAGUGAAUAGCUUUCCGGAGUGACGGUACUUCCACAAGAAGCCCCGGCUAACUACGUGCCAGCAGCCGCAGUAA
rnacentral:rRNA from 1 species